UGGGUGUGCUCAGAGCAGGUGGCCUGAAGAAUGGCUUCUCUGUUUACAACACACCCAAUAGAAAUUUAGGGUCGCUGUGACAAGGGGCACAACACUUGUGACUUCCCUGUGAGCAAAAGUCCCAGACAU
ensembl:snoRNA